rnacentral:rRNA from 1 species
UGGAAACUNUCUGACUUGAGUGCAGAAGGGGAGAGUGGAAUUCCAUGUGUAGCGGUGAGAUGCGUAGAUAUAUGGAGGAACACCAGUGGCGAAAGCAGCUCUCUGGUCUGUCACUGACGCUGAGGCUCGAAAGCGUGGGUAGCGAACAGGAUUAGAUACCCUGGUAGUCCACGCCGUAAACGAUGAGUGCUAGGUGUUAGGCCCUUUCCGGGGCUUAGUGCCGGAGCUAACGCAAUAAGCACUCCGCCUGGGGAGUACGACCGCAAGGUUGAAACUCAAAGGAAUUGACGGGGGCCCGCACAAGCGGUGGAGCAUGUGGUUUAAUUCGAAGCAACGCGAAGAACCUUACCAGGUCUUGACAUCCCGAUGCUAUUCUUAGAGAUAGGAAGUUACUUCGGUACAUCGGAGACAGGUGGUGCAUGGUUGUCGUCAGCUCGUGUCGUGAGAUGUUGGGUUAAGUCCCGCAACGAGCACAACCCUUAUUGUUAGUUGCCAUCAUUAAGUUGGGCACUCUAGCGAGACUGCCGGUAAUAAACCGGAGGAAGGUGGGGAUGACGUCAAAUCAUCAUGCCCCUUAUGACCUGGGCUACACACGUGCUACAAUGGUCGGUACAACGAGUUGCGAGCCGGUGACGGCAAGCUAAUCUCUGAAAGCCGAUCUCAGUUCGGAUUGGAGGCUGCAACACGCCUCCAUGAAGUCGGAAUCGCUAGUAAUCGCGGAUCAGCACGCCGCGGUGAAUACGUUCCCGGGCCUUGUACACACCGCCCGUCACACCACGAGAGUUUGUAACACCCGAAGUCGGUGAGGUAACCUUCU